AGUGAACGCUGGCGGUAGGCCUAACACAUGCAAGUCGAACGGCAGCACAGAGGAGCUUCCUCCGUGGGUGGCGAGUGGCGGACGGGUGAGGAAUACAUCGGAAUCUACUCUGUCGUGGGGGAUAACGUAGGGAAACUUACGCUAAUACCGCAUACGACCUACGGGUGAAAGCAGGGGCCCUUCGGGCCUUGCGCGAUUGAACUAGGCGAUGUCGGAUUAGCUAGUUGGCGGGGUAGAGGCCCACCAAGGCGACGAUCCGUUGCAGGUCUGAGAGGAUGAUCAGUCACAAUGGAACUGAGGCACGGUCCAGACUCCUACGGGAGGCAGCAGUGGGGAAUAUUGGACAAUGGGCGCAAGCAUGAUCCAGCCAUACCGCGUGGGUGAAGAAGGCCUUCGGGUUGUAAAGCCAUUUUGUUGGGAGAGAAAUCCAGCUGGCUAAUACCCGGUUGGGAUGACGGUACCCAAAGAAUAAGCACCGGCUAACUUCGUGCCAGCCGCCGCAGUAA
rnacentral:rRNA from 1 species